rnacentral:rRNA from 1 species
UGGGGAAUCUUGCGCAAUGCGCGAAAGCGUGACGCAGCAAUGCCGCGUGAGGGAAGACGGCUUUCGGGUUGUAAACCUCUUUCAGUUGGGACGAAGCCUCGUCCAGUUAAUAGCUGGUCAGGUGACGGUACCUUCAGAAGAAGCCCCGGCUAACUACGUGCCAGCAGCCGCGGUAAUACGUAGGGGGCAAGCGUUGUCCGGAAUCAUUGGGCGUAAAGAGCGUGUAGGCGGUUUGAUAAGUCUGCUGUGAAAGUCCAGGGCUCAACCCUGGAAUGCCAGUGGAUACUGUCAGGCUAGAGUCCGGAAGAGGCGAGUGGAACUCCUGGUGUAGCGGUGAAAUGCGCAGAUAUCAGGAAGAACACCAAUAGCGAAGGCAGCUCGCUGGUACGGAACUGACGCUGAGACGCGAAAGCGUGGGGAGCAAACAGG